GUGCUGGAAGCUGAGUUUAUAAAUAAUGGAAUUUCAAGCAGUAGUGAUGGCAGUUGGUGGGGGAUCUCGGAUGACAGACCUGACUUCCAGCAUUCCCAAACCUUUGCUUCCAGUUGGAAACAAACCUUUAAUUUGGUACCCACUGAACCUGCUUGAGCGUGUUGGAUUUGAAGAAGUCAUUGUGAUUACAAUCAAGGAUGUCCAAAAGGCUUUAAGUGCAGAAUUCAAGAUGAAAAUGAAGGCAGAUAUUGUGUGUAUUCCUGAUGAUGCUGACAUGGGAACUGCAGAUUCUUUGUGCUACAUAUAUCCAAAGCUUAAGACAGAUGUGUUGGUCCUGAGCUGUGAUUUAAUAACAGAUGUUGCCUUACAUGAAGUUGUGGACCUUUUCAGAGCUUAUGAUGCAUCACUCGCCAUGUUAAUGAGAAAAGGCCAAGAUAGCUUGGAGCCAGUUCCAGGUCAAAAGGGGAAAAAGAAAACAGUGGAGCAGCGUGACUUCAUUGGAGUGGACAGCACAGGAAAAAGGCUACUUUUCAUGGCUAAUGAAGCAGACUUGGAUGAAGAGCUGGUCAUUAAGGGAUCCAUCCUGCAGAAGUACCCCAGAAUACACUUCCAUACAGGCCUCGUGGAUGCCCAUCUCUACUGCUUGAAAAAAUACGUUGUAGAUUUCCUAAUGGAAAAUAGUUCAUUCACUUCUAUCCGGAGUGAGCUGAUUCCAUACCUAGUAAGAAAACAGUUUUCCUCAGCUUCUUCACAACAGGGACAAGAAGAAAAAGAGGAGGAUGUAAAGAAAAAGGAACCGAAAUCCUUAGAUAUUUACAGUUUUAUAAAAGAAGGCAAUACUCUGACCUCGGCCCCCUAUGACACCUGUUGGAAUGCCUGUCGCAGAGAUAGAUGGGACGACUUGUCCACUUCACGGGUACACUGCUACGUGCACAUCAUGAAAGAAGGCCUCUGCUCUAGAGUGAGCACACUGGGACUCUACAUGGAAGCAAACAGACAGGUGCCCAAAUUGCUGCCUGUUCUUUGUCCUGAAGAAUCACUAAUCCAUUCAUCAGCACAGAUUUCCAGCAAACACCUGGUUGGAAUUGACCGUCUCAUUGGACCAGAUACACAGGUUGGAGAAAAGUCAUCAGUUAAGCACUCAGUCAUUGCUUCCUCCUGUCUCAUAGGAGAUAGAGUGACUGUCACCAACUGCCUUCUCAUGAACUCAGUCACUGUGGAAGAAGGAAGCAGCAUCCAGGGCAGCGUCAUCUGCAACAAUGCUGUGAUUGAGAAGGGAGCAGACAUUAAAGACUGUUUGAUUGGAUGUGGCCAGAGGAUCGAAGCCAAAGCUAAACGAACAAAUGAGGUGAUUGUGGGAAAUGACCAGCUCAUGGAAAUCUGAAUUCUGAGCAAGACAGACUCCUUCCUUUUGGCAUCCACAACUGCAGAUGUUGGCUGGCCCACCUGUUUGACUCUGUAUUUAUUUUCUAAUAAAGAAGGACUU